ACUCGUAUACGUGACGCGAAAGUUACAAAAGACACUGACAUGGCACACGAUAUUUUGAAGCACAAUACACUACACUAAUACCUAGCUCUGGAUAAACUGGGCUAGCAACACGUAGGCCCGUGUCUCCGGCGACUCUACGUGGUGACUAGGUGUGUCCCAGGGACUGAAUCGUUAUUAAGUUUGGUGGCGCACUGCCGUACGACGGUGAUACAUAAGCCCUGACAUGACGAAUUACACUUAGGCGAACAACUGUUCCACUAACACAUUACACUUGAUAAACUGGGCUAGCAACACGUAGGCCCGUGUCUCCGGCGACUCUACGUGGUGUCUAGGUGUGUCCCAGGGACUGAAUCGUUAUUAAGUUGGAUGGCACGUGUCGCCUGCUGGCUGCCCCGUGCGGGCCAAAACUAAGUAGCCUGUAGGCUAGGUUGGGCGUGAAGCGCCGACGUAAAAACACAUACUCUCCCCACAGUACUUACGUAUGACGUAAAACACUCAUCUCGGAGCACUGAUUGAAUUAAGUUAAGUACCUCAUGGUAAAUUUAGGCCGACCGCGGAACUGUACAAAAGGUUGAAAAGAAAUUACACUAUGGAAAACUACAUGUCGGUGAAUGCAAAGGUUGAAGGCUCCGCGUUGCGCGCAGGCUGCCGGCCUGGUUGAGCUCUCGAAGGACACUAGCGGUGUCGCCGCGCACGACCCCCCUCCCCCGCCAGCCCUCCCGCGGAAACGUGUGAAUUUCGCGGGAAACUGAACCGGCCAGGUUCGGGACAAAUCGCACCGUGAAACAUGAUUUUGCAAAGACUUAAUUAUUAAUUAAUAAAAAAUAAUGUUUAAUAAAAUCCUGUGGAAAAACAUAAUUAUAACAAUUUGUUGUAGUGCGGCGGAAGGAUAUGCCACACCCGGCCGGAUCCUUGCGCCGGUGUAGCACUCGUUGUAUGGCGUUCGCCUCGUCGCACGAACUGCACUUUGCUGCGCGCACGGGCGCGUUCGGUGCACACGCUGUUGCGAGACGUUGAUGAGGCAUAGCGGUCUAUGCGACAGAGGAGCAUUGGCGGUCGGCGUCAGUACCUGGGAUAGAUUGGAAAGGUUAUCACUAUUUCAAUAUUGCUCGUGCACAUGUCAGAUCCAAGGCUCAGUGCCUACUUGAUUUCAUAUCUAAUUUGGAUUUAAUUCAGCACAACCUAAUACAAUCUUCCAAUAACCUUCUAGAUCUUUGUCUUUCUAAUCUAUCUCAUUGUGUGGUUGAAAAAGCUGUUGAAUCUCUGGUCAAAGAGGAUAUCUAUCAUCCUACCCUACUUAUUAAACUACUUAUUGAGGCGACCUCACACAAUUUUACUCCAGAUUCUAUUUUCAGAAACUACAAAGCUGGUGAUUACUUAAGCCUAUAUAACUCUCUAAAAACCCACAAUUGGGAUGAAUAUUAUAACACCUCUGAUGUAGAUGCUCUUGUAGAUCAACUUACAUCUUGUAUCUGUGAUAAAAUCAAUACUCACAUUCCAUUAUCCACACGUAAGGCCUCUAAACAUCCUUAUUGGUUCUCUGGUGAUUUAAUUCAUGCCUUAAAAUCUAAAAAACACUUUCAUAAACUCUAUAAAAGAAACAAUAAUACUCAGUAUUACCUUCUUUUCUCUAAAUAUAGAGCACUAGUUAAAAAUCUUAUUAAGCGUGAUAAAACUAAUUGGAAUCGUAGUAUCAAUAAUAAGGUUAAGAAUAACCCUAAAAAAUUCUGGAGAUAUGUCAAUGUUAUGAAAAAUGGUUAUAGUGAACCUCAUUCUCUUAAUGUCAAUGGUGAUAUCUGCAAUGAUCCAGGUAUUCUAUCUAAUGUCUUUGCUAAGUACUUUGCUAGUGUAUAUGUACCAUCCACCAACCACCCUUGUAUCAUUGAUCCCGAUAUAAUUCACGAUUCAAUUCCUGUAUCAUUCUUAUCAGAAAGCCAGGUCUUAUGGGGAAUUAAAUCAUUAAAACCAACUAUGUCUACUGGUCCUGACGGUAUACCAAAUUUCAUUAUUAAAGGCUGCUCUUUUAUUCUAAUGCCUCUAUUGUUGCAUCUAUUUAAUACAAGUCUAAAAUCACAAGUAUUUCCCACUAAAUGGAAAAUAGCUAAGGUUAUUCCCAUACAUAAAAAGGGUAGUAAACUCAUUGUAUUUAAUUAUAGGCCUAUAUCAUUAUUAAAUGGCUUUACUAAAAUCUUUGAAAAAAUAAUAUUUAAACAUAUUAACUUCCCAAUAAACAACAGAUUAGCUCCUAAUCAGCAUGGCUUUAGAAAUAGUAUGACAACUUCUACUAAUCUUCUCUCAUUUAUUAAUCCUAUAUACAAUAAAGUUACAACAAGGGGGCAGGUUGAUGCAUGUUAUUUUGAUCUGGCUAAAGCCUUUGAUACCGUCAAUCACUCCAUUUUACUAGCUAAACUUUCUAACUUCGGUCUCUGUAAUAAUUAUAUAACCUGGUUGACUAGUUACCUUAAUGAUAGAUGUUUCUUUGUUUCACUUAAUAAAAACACUUCUACUUUAUAUCAUGCUACUUCUGGUGUGCCUCAAGGGGGUACUUUAUCUCCCUUAUUAUUCAAUAUUUAUAUCAAUGAUAUUUUUAAAGUUCUUCAUCAUACUACUGGUUUUCUGUUUGCUGACGAUCUUAAAAUAUUCAGAGAAAUUUCAUCUUUAAAUGACUGUCUGCUUCUUCAAUCUGAUAUUACUGAAAUUGAUAAUUGGUGUAAAAUGAAUUUAGUUUCACUUAACAGAGAUAAAACAAAAAUUAUUUCUUUCACAAGGAAAAUUCAUCCAGUUAAAUAUGAUUAUUUUCUUGACAACUCAAAAAUUUCCAUAUCUCUUAGUAUAAAAGAUCUUGGUGUUAUUCUUGACUCCAAACUAUUCUUUCAUCAACAUGUUAAUUCUUUAGUAUCCUUUUCCCGUAGAACCUUAUAUUUAAUAAAUUACAUAACUUACUAUGCAUCUAAUAUUGAAUCCAUUCUUACUCUUUAUUUGUCCUUAGUUAGAAGUAAACUCGAAUAUUGCUCAGUUAUCUGGGACAGUAUUAACACCACCGAUAGUGACAAAAUUGAAUCCAUACAAAAUAAAUUUUUCAAAAUCAUUAGUUCUAGACACCAUCAAUUACCCAAAUUAGAAUCUCUUUCAAAUCGUCGCAUCCAUCUGGAUGCCCUGUUUGUGUUUAAGUGCUAUAGUUCAAAAAUUAAUUGCUUAUACUUACUUGAUAACUCUGGUAUUCGAGUCCCGCAGUUCAAAAGCCACCUUCGAUCCCUAUUAUGUUCCUUACACAAUAAUAAUGAUGAUUUAAUUUAUAGAGUUAUCUCAAAUUUCAAUAAAUAUGAAAAUUUUAUUAAAAACUUUAAAUUUUAAUUUUUUAUGAUUACCCUAAUAUCUUGAGUAAUUUUAUAAUCCUGUUUAUUCUUCCCAUUCUAGAUCAUUUAGUUAAGAUUAUCUCAGUUGCUGUUUUGUUUUGUUUGUUAUUGUUUUUUUUCUUUUUAUUGUGUCAUCUUUUAUUAUCCUGUGUAUGUUGUAUUUAUUCGCUUGUAUGUGUCAUCUUUUAUUAUCCUGUUUAUGUUGUAUUUAUUCGCUUGUAAGUGUCGUGUUUUUAUUACUUGUUCUGUGCACACCUCCAAAGCUUCGGCUGUUGGUGUGCAUGUCACAAAUCAAAUAAAUAAAUAAAUAAUAAAUAAUAUACAGUGUAUCAUGUAACCAGUAUAACCAACUUAGGAGCCAAACAAUUCCCAUGUUACAGAUUAAGUAUUUAUAUGGAGAUGUUUACAAAUGUGUUAUGAUCAAUCUCACCCCUGCUGAUCAUUCUCACCCCACUUUACGGUACUAGAGUGGUGCCCAUCUUGAAACAUCCAGAAGUUUUAACACUCAUUUUAACUCACUUGCAACCCCCAUUUAGGGCCCCUUGUGAAAUCAAUAUAUGUGUCUUUUCUUACAUUAUAUUUUAGGAUAAAAAAGUAAAUUUCGAAAAACCUGUUAGUUGGGCCCUUUUUGAAAUCGCCUCUUCAAUUAUAAAAGUUUAAAGAUAGUCUAAAUCGUUCAAUGAUUUUGGUAGACCUAUAAUUAUAUUUCAUUGUUUUCUGAAUGAUCCGAUUAUAAUUAUAAUUAUUAUAAUGAUCAGCAUUAUUAAACACAAUACGCAAAUCCAUGUAACUCCAUUACUAGCAUAACAUAAAUUUCUUUGUGAAAUCUAUUGUUUCAGUUGUAAUCAGUAACCAAGAUACAACACACAAAAAUAAUAAGAAUUAAAAAAUAAAAUAGUACAAAAUAAACACCAAGAUAAUAUUCAUAUCCUUGAAAUUUUAGAAUAGUAAAGAUUAAGUAACAAUUUGGUCAACUAUGGGUGAUCAAACAUUGCUACAUUAUUAAUUAUCACAAUAUAAAUAAUACCACAAAAUUCCAUAACUUUAUGUAAGUUUAAAAGGGAAAUCUAAUCUCAAGAUUCAAAUGUUCGGUUGUUGUAAAAUGUUGAAUAAUAUCUUGGUAUUGCAUUGCUGUCUGUCAAACUUUGUAGAUAGUCAAAUUUCUUCUUAGAUAUUGGAAGAGGGUUUGCUGUAAGUUUUUUUCAGUGUAGCUUCUUGAAACAACUGCAAACCCUGGAUCUUGAGGCUUUCAUGUUCACAGUUUUAAACUCUGUUGCUUUGAAAGAAGUUUUGCAGAAAAAGCAAAUUAAUGAUUGCUUUCUACCUUCAGUACAGAAAUGUUGUUGAAGAGGACUUUUAUCAUUCUCAGUGUUUAUAAAAAAAAAAUUCAGAUGCCCUAUCUGUGAGGUACUUUACAUCAACAAAGUCAUUGUAUUCCAUUUUGAACAGUUGGAAAUGUUCGCUUUUUUUUUCUAGCCAUCCUAAUUAAAGUUGUGUAUUGCAAUGGGACGUAUAAUGGACCUGAUUUCAGUUAUCGUUGAAUAGUUUUUUCUAUUGCAGAACGAACGCAGUUACCUUUGUUUUGUGUGUCCCACAACCAAAAUUUGUGUGUUUAUUUUUUAAUUGGAAAUCUUGACAUGGUGUACAAGUACCAGGCAACAAUGUAUUUCUUUUUUUUGCUGUCCGCAGCAGCUUUUUUCUUCUAAAAUAUUUUAACAAGCAUGUUCCAAUUUCGGUAGCAUCUUUCCAUCGUCUUCAUGCGAUAGGUUGCAGUAGACAUCAUCCAGCCUAUCUUUUUUAAAGUCACAAAUUGUAACAAUAUGGACAAUUGGACUUCUCCAAAUUGUAACAAUUUGGACAUCUCCAAAUUGUAACAAUUUGGACAAUUUGGACUUCACAUGAAGUAGGCAGAGUGGCUUGCUUAAUCAAAACAUUAUACUUGAAAGGAGGAAUUGAUGCAAUACCUAUCACUUUCCUUCUCUUUUCUGCUUAAUUCAUUUUUUUCUUUGUGUCCAUCAAACUCAAUUUUGGCUUUGUUUCUAACAUCUUCACUUAGAUUCAUGUAAUUUGCACACGGUUAACACUGGUUCUUUUUAGGAGAGAAAAAUGCCCAGUUAAAUUCAUAGUUGAAUAUUCUGGUGUACUUUGUUAAACUUCCAUUCUUUCUUACGAGCCUCUUUGUAAUCUCUGUACAACUGUGCUAUUGUGUUACUACCCUCAACUUAUUGUUAAGAGGAAGUUGCACAUACCGUAUUUACUCGCAUAUAGGUCACCAUCGCAGAUAGGUCGCACCCAUAAUUUGGUAUUUAAGAUUCCCCCCAUAUAGGUCGUACCAGUAAUUCAUUACCGCACCGUGCGCGAAGAAAGGUCAUUGUACUCAAUCAGCUGCUGUUAACGGCGCACCUGCUGGCUCUCUUUGUUCACUAAGCUGCGCAUGCGCAGUAUAACUCACUCAACGCUCCGCCCAGACUCGUGACGUUGCAUCAGCAGCCAGCCAAUAGAUGCGAGCUUAGCAGAAAAAAAAUAUAAGCUCCACCUCCCGUGUACCAGUUUUGUCCAGUUCUAAUACCAGUUUAUUGGUAUACGCACCAGUUUUCUCGCUGCCGUGACAUGUUCAAAUUUACGUCCAUCUUGAUGUCUUGAUACCAAUAAUUAAUUAAUUACGACCCCAGAAAUUAAUUGUUAGUUUAAAAAAUAUGCGUCAACUGUACAAUACUUCCGAAAUUAUAAAAUACGUUUAAAACAUUUACCAAGACUACGCUCAUUUGUUAAUGACGCUAAGUUGUGACAUAAAUACAGUUUCAGAAAUUAACAAUCAGCCACGUUCAUACAUUCGUGAGUUUACGUUUUUCCCUCGUGCAUUUUAGAUUGUCUCCUGCUAUAAUUACUCAGACUUUUACACGCCUAGGCUUAAAUUAUUACAUGUUUAGAAAUAAAAGCAACUUUUCAUGUUAUAAAAUAUGUAUAUUUUGUGAUUUAAAAUGUUCAUUGCCGACUAUAAACGUUACGUUUUUCACAAUGUUUUUAGGCCUACUAGAUAAUCUUAUCUACUCUUAAAGUACCCACUGUAUUUUCUGGUUGUUUAUGGUUGUUACGUGAUGUAAAUAGUGGGAUGGAUUCGAUUUUUGAGUCGUAAUUUGCGCGAAAGUAUUGUAUUGGACUAAAUGGGAACUAAACGGGACCUGAAGAAUAUAGUGCAAAUAACGGUAACGUAAAUAAGGGGUUUCGCUGUAUGUGUACAUUGUAAAUAAAUUUGCCUAUACCUAUAUAAACUUCUUUUUCGCAUUUUAAAGCAAAAUAUUGCAAAAAAAAUUCCUCAAAAAUUAAAAACAUUUUUUUUUCUUAACAUAUAGGUCGCAGUUCAUUUUUUCCCCAUCAAAUCUGGUAAAAUUACCGCGACCUAUAUACGAGUAAAUACGGUAUAUAGUGGCUUUCUAAUACAGGAAUGGAUGAAAAGUGAGCACGAAUGCCUUGUUUUAUUUUCUCUGAAACUUUGACGUGGUUUUCAUGCUUUCCUCUUGUCAUUGGCUAAGAAAAAAAAUCUGUACUCUAGGACUAAGUUAUGCAUACACCUGUUGAAAAUAUUGAGUGUCUCUGUAAAGAACGUUUUGCAUACUCUGUCUUCCUUCAUUCUAUGUGAAAUAAAGGCACUAUUGAAUUUUCUGAUUGGUUGUCCUGUAUUUGACAAGGAAUGCCUAUACUGCAGGCAAAUGUUUUGUGUGAAUUGAAGAAUGAAACCUCUUUGAUUAUUUACUUCCUCUAAGGUCCAGUACUUAUCAAAAAUGUUCAUUCUUUCCUCUUCAGUAAAUUUAGUAGAACACUGCAAUCAAUAUUUGACAUCACACAGAGGACACAACCUUCUCGCUCUAACUUCCAUCUUCAUUUUCAGAGAUUUGUUAAUACUUACCACAAUUCCUCACCAAUUUACAUUAAUUUCUUUUACAUUUUUGGGGGUGGCUUUUUGUUUCUGAUUUUUUUGCUUGUGGUUAUAAUUUCUUUUCUCAUCAGAUAAAGGGAUGUCUGUUGAUUAUGACUCAGAAUAGGAAUAUCCUGAUUUGCAUCUGAAUCGUUCACGUUUUCUGAAGCUGACUCACCACUGUUUGAAACGGAUGCAUUUCAUUCUGACACUAUUCUCUUUUGUCUGUUUGCCUAGUUUCUGAAAUUAAUAAUAAAGUUCGUAAUAAAAGAAAAAGUCAUAAAAUAAUUAUAUUUCAGAUAUGGAGACAACAUAGUAUGGUAACUUCUCAGUUUUUAAUUUCUGCAAUUUUUGUUACUGCUACUGUAGAAUCAUCAUUCUUCUGAGAAUUUGGACUUGAUGUAGCUCAGGAUGUUAUGUGCCAGCUAUCUCCAUUCCCAUCUCUGCAUGCUAAAAAUAAUGAAGGUCUAAUUCCUCUCUAAUGACAACAAAAUGUUUGAUCAUCAAUGUUUCUUGUGAUUUAUAGGAAUACAAAAUUAUACAGCUAUUAAUCCAAAAUCUUAUAGUUAAAAUUAUCCCUGCUAAAUACUUACCUACUUUUUAAAAAUUAAAAACAUUAAAUAGUUCAUUCUUAUUCCAUAGGAAAUCCCUGACUGUACUUCAUAUCCCUUAUUCUAUGGGGAACACUUGUUCUACGUAUUUAGAAUCUUCCUCCUGUGAGGAAAUACCCCUUUCUGUGGUUAAGUCAUAUUCAGACAGGGUUGGAAAAAAAUAUAGGUUUUUUUUUGCUAAAAAACCAAAAUUUUUAGGUUUAAACCAGGUUAUUUUUUAUUUUGUUCUCACCACGUUCAAACUGUGUGUGUAUAUAUGAAUUCAGAUCAAUUAAUAAUUUUUGACACAAUUCCUGAUAUCAGCUACAAUACGCUCAUUGUAACUACUAUACUAGACGCAACAUAACUCCAAGCCUGGGUGACGGUUAGAAAAUCGUUGUGUGUAUGUGAGUCCCGACACUGGAGAAGGCAGACGUGGCGCGGCAGUGAGAGAUAAUGCGUAACUUGAUAACAGGGGCUACACGCUACUGCACAGAGUGAAAACUUAGUCCUUCGGUGAAAUCCGACGAAUACGUUGGUACUUACUAAACGUUUUCGUUUACAGUUUGGAUCUGAGGUUUGUAUGCAUGUAGUGUAUCACUUUUGUUCAGAGCCAGUGUUACAUAUGUAGUGCAGUACUUCAGUAAAGUACAACUUUAUACAUAAAAUGCCUCCAGUGUUCAAAAGUUAAGAGUAAAAAACUGCACUCGCAGGCGCGGAAAAUCGUCUAUAACGUUCUGCAGUUUAUGGAAAAUGAAGCGCGAUUGCAGGAACCCUCUAUUUCACUAGAGAAAGCACAGCUGAGAACAGCUAAUGCGACGGGUGUGUCUCGCACGACUGUACAAACAAUAUGAAAAAUGGCUCACCGAACAAUUAAUACAAAAUCUUCCUCCAAACAGUGUUGUUGUGAUAGAUAAUGCUCCCUAUCACAAUGUAAAAAUAAAUAAAACGCCUACCUCCAGCUCGACAAAAUUGGAAAUGCAGCAGUGGUUAAGUAAGGAGAAUAUUUCCUUUACUAGCGACAUGCACAAACCUUCGCAAGUGCAGUACUCGGCAGACAGACUAUUGGUAAAUAGUGGCCACACAUUACUUCGUCUGUCCCCUUAUCAUCCGGAUUUGAAUCCGAUAGAAAGCAUAUGGGCUAAAGUUAAAGGAGAAGUCGCUUCAAGAAAUAUUACUUGCAAUUUGGCAAAUGUAAAAAAACUUUGCGAGGAAAUAUUUAACCGAAUGGGUCCAGAAGAUUGGAUACCGAUUUGCAAUCACGUCAAGACACUCGACAACGAAUACUGGGAUAAGGAUGUGCGUUUUGACAUUGAAAUUGAUAAAGCGAUGGUUCAGUUAGGUGAUGCAAACAGUGACAGCAGUGACGUUUACUUAUCAGACUCUUCGGAUGGAACAGUCAGUGGCGUUGAAGAACUGAGGUAGUGCUUGGAACGU